CGCGUAGGCGGUUCGCUAAGUUGGAUGUGAAAACUCUGGGCUUAACCCAGAGCCUGCAUCCAAAACUGGCGAACUUGAGUACUGGAGGGGAAAGCGGAAUUCCUGGUGUAGCGGUGAAAUGCGUAGAUAUCAGGAGGAACACCGGUGGCGAAGGCGGCUUUCUGGACAGUAACUGACGCUGAGGCGCGAAAGCUAGGGGGAGCAAACA
rnacentral:rRNA from 1 species